AACUCGGCGAAUCGUGCAGCAGCUUCACUUGAAUGGCGUUGGCAGGGACGUUUGCUGCAGGGAGAAAAAGAUCGACGUGGUUUGGGCAUUAUUAUUAUUUUUAGUAUUAGUAGUAUUAUUUUUUGUUAAAAAUAUAAAUGCAUGGCGCGUCUUUUUUUAUUUUUUUUAAAAAGAAAUGCAAAAGUUGUAAGCAAAUAGGUGUUGCGUUUAAAACAGAAAGAAAAGUAAAGAAAGUUUGGGGCCCAAACUUUGCUGCUGCUGAUGUUGUUUUGAAGUGAGGAGCCACUGUUGAAGACGACGAAGAGGCACAAACGGGCCACAGCAAGUAUUAAGGUCAAGUCAGACUGCGGGAGGAAACUGGAGGACCCCGAGAAAACCCGUCAAACGCCACACGGGAAGGCCUGACUGAGCCCAGAUUUGAGCCUAGAACAUCGCAACUGAUUGCUGAGUCAGCCUCAUGACUUCAUCGACAUCACGGGACGGCGCGAGCGAGGGCGUGACCGCAGGCCCGGGAAGCGCUCUGCAGCUGCCGCUUGGCUUCUUUUUUGGCACCAGCUCACCCUGCCACCCCUCCCCCAUGGGCGCUCUUUUCUCCCGUCAUAAAAGGAAGGAACAAGCACUCCUGGACAUUUUAAGGGGCACUGCAGUUGGGUUGAGCAAGGAGAAGGCUGACAGGUGAACGGGAGCCUGGAGGAGAGCGCCGCCCCCCACCACCCUCUUAUGGAGUGGACGUGACUGCAAGGCCGGGCGUGGGCGGACAUGUGACUCAGCAGGCAGCAGCAGGAACUAAAAGAAGGCGACGGCGGGAGGUACGGCCGCAGCAUCCACUCGCAAACGGGCGGCCAAUUACGCAGGCAUGUGUAUGGAUGGAGCAAUCCACGCUGCUCGACCGCCACCCUGACUCACAUGCACUGACAUGACACUUUGUGUGUGCGUGUACACGCACAAAUGUACGUAUGUGUGUUCAUGACCUUUGUGUGUGUGUGUGUGUGUGUGUGUGUGUGUGUGAGACGCAGAAAAUGUGUCAUUAUCUGGGCAUGUGAUUUGGCCAAAUCGUGGAAGACACCGUACUUUCCUGCAAAUGAGCGCGCACAAACACACGCACACACAUUGCACGCACGCACGCACGCACAUGCACACGAUGAUUAAACAGACUGAAAAGCAUCUUUGACUCAAACAGCGUUUGAAAUGUCGUUUUUACGGCGUCCUUUUAUUGCCGCUGUCUUUCACGUGUUCAUCUGACGUUUGAUCUACUUUAGUUUGCUAUUAUGCAUACAAAGAUUUUUAGAUCCAUUUAGUAUUGAUGAAUAUGUAUUAAAGAGAUCAAACAUUGGACAUUAAUCAAGCUGGUCUAGACACGACAUUAGUUGAUGUGUAAUGUUUUCUAUUCAUUGCAAAAUUACAAUGUAAGAAACAAAUGCAAUAAAAGAAGCUCCAAAAAAGCAAUUAUUGUUACAAUUUGUAUGUUUUCAGAUCUAAUUUUUAGGAUUAUUUUACUCCUCAUUAACACUAGUUGUCAUUGUACUAAUUACCUUUACAAACCAAAUAUGUUUUGAACAAAUACUUAAGGCUAUUACUCAAUUAAUGUAUGAGUCGCUGUGAAUCUCCAAAUGUUGAACUUCGGUUCACCUGUGAGGUUUAUUGGUCAAAAUGAUAAUUUCUUUUCUUGAAAGAUGCAAUUUUGACUUUUCUCUUGAAAGCACAGAAAACUAUUUUCAAAUUAUUGAAACAAAUAAUGUUCUUAACAGCUUUCUUUUCUUCAAAUUUGUUUUAAUGAAAACAAUUGUAAAUGUUUUUCUUAAAAAAUAUAUUGUGAAAUAUGACUUUCUCAAAAGAAUAAUAAAAAAAAAAAUUCCCCCCUCAUAUUCUUGAAAAAGAUUUAUUUUCCUCAAAUAUGUUUAUCCUUGAAAAACAAAACAUCUUUGAUUUGUAUUUCAGUAAAUAAGUCAAUGUAUUUUUUCUUGAUUUUUCCAGAAAGCAUUUAUUGAAAAGUAUGCCGUUCUCAAAAUAAUUCUAGAAAAAAAUACUUAUAUUUUCAACCUUGUUUUUAGCAAAACAUGUUUUUUCUAUUCUUAUUUUGUUUCUUGUAUUAUUAGUGUAUAUUUGUAAUAAAAUAUGCACUUUUAAUACUGGUGCAAAAACGUUAUUUUUCUUUUUUUUCUCAAGAAUGUUUUGCGAUUUUUAUU